GAUCCCGAUCUGGAGAACUUCUUCGACUAACUAGAUCUCAACAAGGAAGAAUUUGAGGAUGUGGAUAUCGAUGAAGAGGACCCGGAGAUCAAGGAAAGCGUCCGUUGGUUAGACCUUGCUAGGGUUCAUACCGACAAAACUUUCUCUCCGUCGGCCUUCUACAAGAAGAUGAGGACGGCUUGGAACCUGGCGCAAGGCGUUAGAUUCCGGCCGGUCGGGCCAAACAGGUUCGUCGUCCAGGCAUCUUGCUUAGGGGACUGGGAGCGGAUCAUGAAACAACGGCAUUGGCUAUUCCGCAACAUGGCGGUGCUACUUUGCGUGUAUGAUGGAUUCAGCAGGGCUGAAGACGUGGUGUUUGAUCACAUGCCAAUAUGGCUUCGGAUUCACAAGCUCCCCGACCCGUAUUGCAAGGAACACAUUGUUGAGAAGCUGUUGAAGGGUGCGGGGGAGAUAAUGGAGAUGAGGUUCAAUGGGAAUACGGGUGAUUAUGUGAGGAUUAGGGUGAAUCACAACAUUAAGCAUCCCCUUACUAAGUUUGUCAGUAUUGUGCGAGCAAAAGAAUGUCAAGUGUACCUUGUUUGUUAUGAGAAACUCGCUCGAUUUUGCAAGGUGUGUGGGCUGAUUGUCCAUGAUCAUAAGGAGUGUGGCUUGGGCAUACAUGAAAAGAAAGAUAUGAAGUUUGGGGACUGGAUGUAUGCGGAGGGGCCGUCCUGGCCUGGGUAG
rnacentral:rRNA from 1 species